rnacentral:rRNA from 1 species
GAUGAACGCUGGCGGCGUGCCUAAUACAUGCAAGUCGAGCGAACGGACGAGAAACUUGCUUCUCUGAUGUUAGCGGCGGACGGGUGAGUAACACGUGGAUAACCUACCUAUAAGACUGGGAUAACUUCGGGAAACCGGAGCUAAUACCGGAUGAUAUUUUGAACCGCAUGGUUCAAAAGUUAAAGACGGUCUUGCUGUCACUUAUAGAUGGAUCCGCGCUGCAUUAGCUAGUUGGUAAGGUAACGGCUUACCAAGGCAACGAUGCAUAGCCGACCUGAGAGGGUGAUCGGCCACACUGGAACUGAGACACGGUCCAGACUCCUACGGGAGGCAGCAGUAGGGAAUCUUCCGCAAUGGGCGCAAGCCUGACGGAGCAACGCCGCGUGUAUGAUGAAGGUCUUCGGAUCGUAAAGCUCUGUUAUUAGGGAGGAACAGAUGAAUAAGUAUCUGUGCACAUCUUGACGGUACCUAAUCAAAAAGCCACGGCUAACUACGUG